rnacentral:rRNA from 1 species
CCCUUAGAGUUUGAUCCUGGCUCAGAUUGAACGCUGGCGGCAGGCCUAACACAUGCAAGUCGAGCGGUAACAGAUUGAUAGCUUGCUAUCAAUGCUGACGAGCGGCGGACGGGUGAGUAAUGCCUGGGAAUAUGCCCUGAUGUGGGGGAUAACUAUUGGAAACGAUAGCUAAUACCGCAUAACCUCUUCGGAGCAAAGAGGGGGACCUUCGGGCCUCUCGCGUCAGGAUUAGCCCAGGUGGGAUUAGCUUGUUGGUGGGGUAAUGGCUCACCAAGGCAACGAUCCCUAGCUGGUCUGAGAGGAUGAUCAGCCACACUGGAACUGAGACACGGUCCAGACUCCUACGGGAGGCAGCAGUGGGGAAUAUUGCACAAUGGGGGAAACCCUGAUGCAGCCAUGCCGCGUGUAUGAAGAAGGCCUUCGGGUUGUAAAGUACUUUCAGUUGUGAGGAAGGCAGUAAAGUUAAUAGCUUUGCUGUUUGACGUUAGCAACAGAAGAAGCACCGGCUAACUCCGUGCCAGCAGCCGCGGUAAAUACGGAGGGUGCGAGCGUUAAUCGGAAAUACUGGGCGUAAAGCGCAUGCAGGUGGUCUGUUAAGCAAGAUGUGAAAGCCCGGGGCUCACCCUCGGAA